CUCUCUCUCUCUCUCUCCCUCUCUCUCUCUCUCUCUCUGUCUCGCGCUCUCCUCUCUCUUCUCUUCUCUCCCCUCUGGUCUCCCUCGUCUUCCCUCCCCCCCCCACACCCCUUCUUCCUCCCCUCGGCUGCUCCUGCUUUUCGCAUCACACACACUAUAUAAAUAUACGCGGAGAUGCCCAGAUACAUUCAUGCGCUGCGCACACAGGAUACUUGCUCCCGGGAGAUAAGAGCGAACUAGGAACAAUGCCGGGGUCCACGCCCGGCGCCCGCGCCCUGAUUCCCGAGAUACGUUCAUUAAUGCUUUUUCCAGCCGGAGACAAAUUUUGGGGGGGGGGGAGUGCAGAAGAGUUUACUCGGGCUGGGGAUAACCUGGAGCUUACUGCCCUGGAAGACCUGGACGCAAACCGAAGCAGACCAACCAUUAAAAAGUGCAUCCAAUGGACAUUCUUCCACUCGGGCCCUCGACUGCGGAGUCGCGCAAACUCCUGGAGCGGCUCACGCAACUACGCGGGCUCCUGCGGUUUCGGACGGACCUCGGCCGUCGGGGGCGGGGACUCGGCUCCCAGCGCGGUUAGCGAAGGGACGCCCUCGGGGCGGUGCGCCUCGGUCCCUCAGCUACUGGAGAGCUCCCGGCUCCGGGAUCCGCGGCACCCCAGGCCACUUAUCCGCGCCAUCUAGGGUCAAACCCCUCGCGCAUACCCCGACCCAAGGGCCCAAACCCUUGCGCCCGGGCGCCCGGGCCAGUGCUGCCUAUGCAGUGCCACCUUUGGCCCCAAGAAACCUACGGUACAGCGAGACGAUCCCUCCAGGCUGUCCGGCAGGUCUCCAGAACACAGCUUGCAACAUCCCCGCACCGACCCAGACCUCUCCCAGCCCAGACUCUGUCGACCUUCAAAUGACAACAAGGCUUUCAGGAGGGAGCAGGGAGACUGCUUCCCACCAGGACCUGACCAGAAACCCGGCACCCUCAGCCUCAUUCUCCCUCUUUCAGGCAGAAAGACCGCCAAUCUACCACAGGAGGCCCCCUUCUCGGUGCUGGGCAAACACUGAGGUCAUUAAUGGCCACCCCAGGCCAGGCAGUGGCUCCCCCUUCUAGGGCUUGUGAAGGCACCUCUGUGGCAAAACAUUGGCCAGUCUUCUCUUUCCAACUCCUCUUCUGCCUGGCAACUACCUGCCUUCACUGCUCUGAUCACCCCAACGUCCCUAGCAUCCCUGCCUCUCUUCUUGGGAGAACUCCAUGUGGAACUAAAUUAAAAUGAGGACUUGUCCUCCUGU
rnacentral:lncRNA from 1 species